AGAAAGGUAAAACUGAGAAAUAGGGGGUGUGAAUUAUGUUGAAGAAGUAAAAAAGUGGGAUACAAAUAAGAAAAAUGCUAAGGCCAAAGACCCAUAUUUUGAAACCCUAAUUACAUUUUAAUUAAAAAAAUAAAUAAUAAUAAAAACAUGAAAUAAAAGUUAACAUGGGGGAAAACAACUACAAGAGGUGCAAAAGCAAAAGACUAGUAAUGUGUUUGAGCGCAAAAGAAGAAUAAAACAAGAAUAAAAAGGAGAGGGGUGCAUGAGUAG
rnacentral:lncRNA from 1 species